rnacentral:rRNA from 1 species
UACAGAGACUGCAAGCGUUAUUCGGAUUCACUGGGCGUAAAGCGUGCGCAGGCGGUUUUGUAAGACAGAUGUGAAAUCCCCGGGCUUAACCUGGGAAUGGCAUUUGGGACUGCAAGGCUUGAGUGCGGCAGAGGAGACUGGAAUUCCCGGUGUAGCAGUGAAAUGCGUAGAUAUCGGGAGGAAUACCGAUGGCGAAGGCAGGUCUCUGGGCUGACACUGACGCUCAUGCACGAAAGCGUGGGGAGCAAACAGG